UAGUUGAGUUGAGUUGAGUUAUAUUAAUUUGUUCAUAUGCAAUUAUAAGUUCAUUAGUUUUAAUGAAGUGAGUUAUACUUUAUAUUAUAACCAUAUGAUAAACAUAGAUGUGUCAAUUUCUAUUGUUAAAACUUUUUCUUUUUUAAAUUCAAGCUUUUAUUAGUUUGAAAAUUUUAUGUAUUUAAAACUUCAUUAAUAUAAUAAUCUUAGUUGUGAUUUCAUAUAUUUAACAUUUCCAUUCAUUUACAAAUUAGUAUAGGAGAGAGAGAGAGAGAGAUUAAAAGGUGAGAAAGAGAGAUUGAAAGGGUUCAAGAUUCAAAUGCUGUUACCUCCAAGGCUAUGUAGUUUUGAUUUAUUUACUUAUUAUGGAUAAAAUGGUUAUAAUUAAUUUUUAUGUAGAAUCUAAUUUAGUUAUUACCUAUUAUUUUAUACAUCUAAUAUACUAAUUCAUUAAUUUGUUCCUAAAUAAUUAUAAGUUUGUUAGUUUUAGUAGAAUGAAAUAACCUUUUUAGUUUUAUUUUAUAUUAUAAUCAUACAAUAAGCAUAAAUACAUGUUAUGUGUCACUUUAUGGUUAAAUGUUUUACAUUCA
rnacentral:misc_RNA from 1 species